CUCAAAGAGACAGCUCCCUGAACAGUCUGAGACCUAACCAGGGUUGGACAGUGACUGAUUACAUGUAAUCUGACUACUUUUGAAAAACUACAUAGAUCAUUACAUGUAGGAUUACUUUUAAUGCGUUAUGACACCUUUCUGUUUUCUCAAUGACAUUUCAUUCAGCACUGAAUAAAGGCUCAAGUUUAAGUUUGUUCCAUCUGAGCAAGACUGACCACUAUGAGGUCAGAGACCACUAUGAGGUCAGAGACCACUAUGAGGACACACCAAAUGUGUUUAAUGGAUCCUUUUCGUCGUCUGUCUCCUAAUAGGAAAGUAAUCCAAAUGUAACUGAAAGUAAUCCGAUUACAUUACUGAGUUAAGGCGAAAGGAAUCCGAUUACAUUACCGAGUUAAGGUGAAAGUAAUCCGAUUACAUUACUGGGUUACGGUGAAAGUAAUCCGAUUACAUUGCCGAGUUAAGGCGGGAGUAAUCCGAUUACAUUACCGAGUUAAGGCGGAAGUAAUCCGAUUACAUUACCGAGUUAAGGCGGAAGUAAUCCGAUUACAUUACUGAGUUACGGUGAAAGUAAUCCGAUUACAUUACUGAGUUUGGGUAAUCCAAAAGUUAAAUUACAGAUUAUAAUUUUGGAGAGGUAACUGUAACGGAUUACAUGUAGAAAAUAACAUGGUAACCUACCCAACCCUGCUCCUAACUGGACCAGAGAGAGUAGAGGAAGAGAAAGAGAGGGAGGAAGAGAAGACCAGAGCAAGCUGCUGUGCUGCACUCCAUCACCAUACAUUGCAGCGGUUGGCACCUUCACUAGACACUAACACCACACAGCUAUGCAACAUGGUUCUGUGGUCUGUGUUUGUUGUUGUUUGAGAGAUUGUCUGUGUUUGGUGAAAGAGGAAUGGUAUUGUUUUGAGAGUAAAACCAUGCAGUCUUUAAAGAACUGCUGGGUUUGAAAGAUGUUUGUCUUUGUAUUGUGAUGGAGGGAAAAUGGAAAUGUGAAUUACCGGUGGUAAUGCCAAAUAGUUAAAUAUACCGGAAUAAAUGCUGACUGUAUUUAUUAACUCACCUGUUUGAAAAUAUGAGGGGAUCUGCAUAUAUCUGCAUAUAUCUGCGACAUUCUAAAGCAUUCGCCAUGUCAGGCCUAGUCGUUCUAGAAUGUCUUUUGAACGUUGCAUGAAGGGACAUCACAACUGCUGGACCCCAGUAAGCAUUUUUAAUUUCAUUUAGGGCUUUAUCAGUUAAACAUAAAUGUCAUGAUGAUUCUGUAGCCCUGUGGUUCUGACAGAAUUGGUAGUCUCUUAAUGACAUUUAUAUGUACCUUUUACUAGCUACAAUUUUGAAAGACCAAAUAAAACUCACUGUUCACUCAAAGAAGGUUAAAUUAUUUAUUUUAUUGGCAGUGUGAAGCACAUAGGAAAAUAAUUGGAUGUAUUGGAAUCAUCAUAGUCACUGAUGUAUUCCUGUUUAAUAACUGUGUGUAUAUUUUAUGUUAGUGAUAUGUCACCGAUCAAGACUUGAGUAAUGACCCUUUGUCAUUCAACUUUUUAGAAACAGUUACGCAACUCCAAACUAUCUUUCUAAUUCGAUGGUUAUCCAUGUAGAAGGUACAUUAGGUUAGGGAGUGAUAUUGUCACACUGUAGGACGGCUGCACUGACUGUAUGGGGUGAUUGAUGAGAAAAUAACCUAAAGGAGAAAAAUGGUUUAACUCUAAAGCUAUGACACUACAUGAAUGAGAGAUCCCAUCACAGGAAUGGGGCUUGCUGCAUGUCCUACAGUGUGCCCCAAUACAAGGUUACAGGUUACACACUUUCUGACUGCUAGUGUUUACUUAUGAUCUUUAUUGUGGAAAUCUGCGUCAAUUGGCCCGUCAUUCCCUGGAAUCUGCCAGAAGCUCAGUCAGUCAGUCAGCCAGAGUCUGUGACUGUUAGAAUACCUACUGGGGCCAGCAGUGGGAUUCUGUGGGAACCAACCAUGUUUAAGAAAGAAUCCUG
ensembl:lncRNA